rfam:Salmo salar isolate Sally breed double haploid chromosome ssa01, whole genome shotgun sequence.
AAUGCACCAAUUUGUAAGUCGCUCUGGAUAAGAGUGUCUACUAAAUGACGUAAA